AACGAACGCUGGCGGCAUGCCUAACACAUGCAAGUCGAACGAUUGCCUUCGGGUGAUAGUGGCGCACGGGUGCGUAACGCGUGGGAAUCUGCCCUUAGGUUCGGAAUAACAGCUGGAAACGGCUGCUAAUACCGGAUGAUAUCGCGAGAUCAAAGAUUUAUCGCCUGAGGAUGAGCCCGCGUUGGAUUAGGUAGUUGGUGGGGUAAAGGCCUACCAAGCCGACGAUCCAUAGCUGGUCUGAGAGGAUGAUCAGCCACACUGGGACUGAGACACGGCCCAGACUCCUACGGGAGGCAGCAGUGGGGAAUAUUGGACAAUGGGCGCAAGCCUGAUCCAGCAAUGCCGCGUGAGUGAUGAAGGCCCUAGGGUUGUAAAGCUCUUUUACCCGGGAAGACAAUGACUGUACCGGGAGAAUAAGCCCCGGCUAACUCCGUG
rnacentral:rRNA from 1 species